AGUGAACGCUGGCGGUAGGCCUAACACAUGCAAGUCGAACGGCAGCACAGUAAGAGCUUGCUCUUACGGGUGGCGAGUGGCGGACGGGUGAGGAAUACAUCGGAAUCUACUUUUUCGUGGGGGAUAACGUAGGGAAACUUACGCUAAUACCGCAUACGACCUACGGGUGAAAGCAGGGGAUCUUCGGACCUUGCGCGAUUGAAUGAGCCGAUGUCGGAUUAGCUAGUUGGCGGGGUAAAGGCCCACCAAGGCGACGAUCCGUAGCUGGUCUGAGAGGAUGGUCCGCCCCACCGGAACUGGGGAACGGGCCAGACUCCUAAGGGGGGGAGCAGUGGGGAAAUUUUGGCAAUGGGGGGAAGCCUUAACGCGGCCCGCCGGGGGGGGGAAGAAAGCCUUCGGGGUUUAAAAGCCUUUUUUUUGGGAAAAAAAAACGGGAGGGUAAAUCCCCGCGUUUUGGCGGGAACCAAAAAAAAAGCCACCGGUAAAUUCGUG
rnacentral:rRNA from 1 species